AAAAUCCAUCUUAUGGCGUAUGGCUUUAGUGACGAUGCCUUGUGGGCAUGUGACUUAUUAGUUGAUAAGAAUCAUCCGGUCUAAAGAGAACAUAGUUGGACAAGAUGAUAGAUCAGUCGAUAUGCUUCAUGAGCAUGGUGUGUUCCUGUUUAUGAGCAGGAGGUUGUGGCCUGAGCCAGCAGAGCACUGCAGAGGAAAUGCUUGACCUGGACGAAGGAAAAAAACGUUAUAAAGGCAGUUCUCCAUGGUAUGUAUGUUCUGACUCUGGUUUGUUGUCGAACCUUUUGGAGAUUCUUCUGCCUUUGAAUUUUAUUAUUUUGUAGGAUAUUCUUGUUGUGCCUAGCGGAUCAUGAUUUCAAUGUCAAAGUAAAUUCAAAUUUCAAGAAUUGAUUUUUGUUUUGAAUAAAGCUAUCUUUCCUUUUAUACUGGCUGUGUAUCCGAGAAAGGAGCAAUGCCUUUCUUUGGUUCCUUUAUAUCUCUAUUUUAUUUUCAUUUUCAUAUAUGGUAUUCAGAUUUCUUUUUCUCAUGCUGCAACUUCCAUUAGCAUCACUACCUUUUCCAAAUCCGCAGUCCUAUUUUGUAUUCGCAUUGAAGAUUAAUUGGCAAGGUUGUCUCUCCGUCGAUUCGUCCCCGGUGUCCAGGUUAGAGAUGGAUGAUAUGUCAGGUCGAAUUCUGUUCCCUUUGUCCUCGGUGGGCGUGGGUGGUAGGGUUAAGCUGAAGGGAAAGCUUGGAUCAGUUAUCUCAGAGUAUGAUAGUUUUUGGGAACCCUCGAUCGACAUGCAAAUCCCAGAACCGAUAGCUUAUUCUAUCGAGAUGCUUUUCAAGGUGGAACCUUCUUCACUGAUAAGAGAAGAAGAUAUGAGGGAAUUGAAGGAGAAUUAUUUAUUGCCUACAUUACAUAUGUAAUAUGAUUCAAUGAUGGAUUACAUAUCGAUAAUCAGCUUGACAAAUAAAUACUUAUAUGUCCGUGUCCAUAAAUUUGUUUUCUUAAUUAUUUACAUACUUUAGACA